rnacentral:lncRNA from 1 species
CAUAUUGAUUGAUUGUUUCGUUGUUUAACAUCCAAAGGCACAUAUUUGAUGCAUUUAAGGCAGGCAAAUAUUCAGUAUAAAGAUAAAUGGUAAAAAAAAUAAAAGAUUUAGAUAUAGAAAUAUAGAAAUUAUUAUCUGAGCUCACCUCCGCUAAAAAAAACUCACUCGUACUUGCAUACAUUCAUCUAAAAAAAUCUGGAUCCGCC